UUUUGGCUCUGGCCCUUGCACUGCACGUCCAGCGCAAGAAACAUGCUGAUGCUUUCGGGGUGAUGNCUGUGGAAUGAGCGGCGGCCAGGUGAGUAACACAUGGGCUACCUGCCUUNNGGGACUGUGAUAACUCCNGAAACUGGGGCUAAUACCGGAUGACCAGAAUAACCGCAUGGUUCUGCUGUAAANGAAUGGACUUUUCCUAACACUGUGACAUGGGCCCUCUCGCGCAUUCCUAUUUGGUGAGGUAACGGUUUCCAAUGCGACAAUGCCUAACCGACCUGUAUGAGGGUGAUCGGCUCACACUGGAACUGAUACACGGUCCAGACUCCUACGGGAGGCAGCAGUUGGGAAUCAUCCGCAAUGGGCGAAAGCCUGACGGUGCAACGCCGCGUGAACGAUGAAAGUCUUCGGAUUGUAAAGUUCUGUUGUCAGGGAAGAACACGUGCCGGUCGAACAGGGCGGCACCUUGACGGUCCUGACCANAAAGCCCCGGCUAACUACGUGCCAUCAGCCCGCG
rnacentral:rRNA from 1 species